rnacentral:rRNA from 1 species
ACGGGGGGAGCAAGCGUUGUUCGGAUUUACUGGGCGUAAAGCGUGCGUAGGUGGUUUGUUAAGUCUGAUGUGAAAGCCCUGGGCUCAACCUGGGAAUGGCAUAGGAUACUGGCGAGCUAGAGUGCGGUAGAGGGUAGUGGAAUUCCCGGUGUAGCAGUGAAAUGCGUAGAGAUCGGGAGGAACAUCUGUGGCGAAGGCGACUACCUGGACCAGCACUGACACUGAGGCACGAAAGCGUGGGGAGCAAACAGGA